ncrna:unclassified sequences pemK RNA
ACAAUGAUACUUCCGUCCAGUCCUAAAGCCGAGCGAGAUAAAACCGUCACAGCAAAGGAGGGCGGCUCCGGGAGACCCUCGGGGUGGUGAGAUUCCAAUGA